AGUUUAAACCCUAACUUUCCCCUUCUUGUUCUUGAGAUGUAUGGAAUUUCUCUCUUGUGAAGAAGAUGUCUCAAACCUAGUUUGAAUAAUCGCAUUCAUAAAAACUUACAUCUGGGGACACACUUUGAGUGCCAUACUUGUCAUUUACCUGUUUGAUAUAAACAGCCAUUUGCCUACAAUUAGAUAUCUCAAUCGUGCAUAUUUAAUUUUGAAAGGUUCUAAUUUUCCCAGUCCUACACAGCUUUUACAAUCGUGGUCAACCUACUGGCCCUAUUCAAAAUUAUUAAAUUGGUGAUUUUCACAUUUAAUUUUAAUCUACUAAUUUACAGUUGCAAAAUAAAAAAUAAUAAUAAUAUAAUCUGAAACAUUUGGAAAAAUAUACCCAACUAAGAUGGUCAAAGCUCAUAGAAUUGAUGUGUUUUUUCAUAACCAUAUAUGAAUAUGUAAUGUAACUAGAGUGAAAAAGUGCCCAAGAGUUAAAUUGAGUUUUAGCAUGAGGGUCUUCCAUCUUCUUUGCCCUGGUCACCUAUGUGGCCGUGUUAAAUACAGAAACAUUUCCUCCUAUAAAUCAUUAAGUAUGACAAAUCAUUGAGGGUAAGUGCAUAAACAUGCGUGCUUUGUAAAUUUAUUACCUAAGCAUGUCCUAUAGGAGAACUGUAAAGCUCAUCCUUAGUGGAUUCAAAAAAACAGCAGCAAAACCAAAAGUAUGAGAACAAUGUAUGUUUCUAAAUUGCUUUUCUCAUUUGCUUCAUUCUCCGCCGUAAUUACUAAAGAGAAAUAUCCUGCUUCAUUAGCCAUGAUAGGAUAGAAAUUAAACAUGCAAAUGAAAAUGAGUGUGAAAAAGAAAGCCGUGUUUUGUAUACCUACACCAACACCUCACACACAUAUAUAUAUAGAGAGAGAGUAUUGUUUGUGUUGGUUUUUACUAUGGCCGGCCUAUGCAAAGUUUCAUAGUUAUGGUUGGAGACAUGAGUGAAGUGUGGUUGUGAUGUAUAUAUAAAAUAACAAGUGGACAGUUGAGAAGAGAUAAAGAAACGAUUUUUUUUGGUAUAUUCCUAUUUUUUUUUUUUUUUUUUAGUAGUACUAGCUAAUCUAUUGUGUUAAGAACAAAAAAGGCGGUUAAUCUUGAGCUAUUUGAAAUUUUGUUUUGGGAUUUGUAGACUCCUCGGUCUAUUAGUUGUGGUUGCUUGAUUUGGUUCUUUAUGUUCAAUUCUUGUUUGUUCCUGAUUUUUAAUCCCAUUUUAAUUUGUCAUUGUUGAUUUUGUUCUAUAAUUUCCUUUCUCUGGUUAUUGUUUCUUGACUUUUGUUAGAAUUAACACUGUCCCAUGCAGUUUGUGUGUGUGUGUGUGUGUUGAUUGAUGCCCUUUCUUGUUUUCAGCUUUAGCUGCUUAUAUUUUUUUCCACAUACUUUUCAUAAUCUUUAAGUUGUUAACAAAUUUUAUCUUCUAAAAGCAUUUACUUUUACAUUUUUUUUUUUUUUUUUUUUUUUUCCAUUUGCUUUAGAUUGGAUUUCCACCAAUUGUGAUGUUUUUUUUUUCCUUGCUCUUUUAAACUUUAUGUCAACAUGCUUUUCAUUGCAAAAUUUUACUUUUAAAAGGCUUUAUUUUAUUUUAUUUUUUUCUAAUAUUUGUUGUUGGUGUUGCUCUUCAUUAUAAUUGAAUUUGCCAAGUAAAGUGUCCUUAUUUUAAUUAUAUAUUUAUGAAUCAUCAGUUUAGCUCUUUGCUGAAACAUUAGCUUAAAAGCAUGGCCAAUUCUAUAACACUCACAGAUCCCCUACUUUGAUAAAAUAAAAAUACUGGUCUAUAGGCUUUGCCAAGUGUUUGGAUUGUUGUCUCUUAGGGAGAUCACCUCUGCUAUCAUUAUAUAGCAUACGAAACUUAUUCCACAAUACAUGAUCACAUUUCUCUGAGUGACAAUUAUAUCUACUUCUGAUUCCACAAUUCUAGUCUAUAAGCUUGAUCAUCUUUUUUAGUUAAUAAUAAGAUUCUUAUUAUUAUUAUUAUUAUUUUGACAUGUCACUAGAAGUAGAGGGCGACACCUUCCAAUAUUGUUGCCGUAUUUAGCACUCCCUACUCGAUAAAUCUUAAUGCCAUUGAAUGAUUUAUAUUAUUUUUUUUUAGUCAGUUUCUAGCAUUUUUUUCUAGUUUUUUUCAGUCAAUAGUAUCCUAGCACUUGGGUUUCCAGUUGCCUACAGUAGUUAUAUAUUAUAUAUUGCAUACAUCAAAAUCCUGGAGUUGCAUCCAAGAGAAUUUAAAAUUAGUUCUGAUAGUGAUUAAUUACAAUUGGUUUAGUAUUGAUUAGUCAAGAAGAUUCUUUGAUGGGAUCAGAAGUAGUUUCUGGUUCAUCUCGCAGGUCCUAUGAUGAUGAGAAGGCUGAAAGUACUAUGAAUUUUUUAGUUGUAAGAAAAAGAAUAAACAAAUGUCUGAACAUAUAAUAAGCUGCAUAAAGUCUGAGCUGGGGAAGCCUGAGUUACAUAGUUUUUGAUGAAGGUUUGUGGCAAUGGCUUCUUGGUUAUGAUGUUUACUCAUGUAUGACACAUGGCAAUGCUUAUUGACACAAAACCAAAAUGGAAGUCAAUAAAAAUCUGUAAUCUAAUUAGCUCAUUAGAAAUAUCCAGAUGAAGUUAGAAUUAGGGAAGGCGCCAACUCGUGCUCAACUAUUUUGCGCAACACAUAAGAGCAAGAAGGAUGACAAAGCUAGUGAUGAACAUGCUGCCAAAAUGAUUGCAGACACAACUAGAAGAGCCUGCUGCAACUUAGCCUUCUAACCCAGAUGAACCUUCACCCCAUGAAAUGAAGGAGAUAGUGGAAAAGAUACGUGUUGAGUAUGAUGAAAAAUAUCAAGCUUUGAAUGCAAAAAUGGCUAUGAUUUUGCGUCAUAUUGAACAUUAAAAUUCUAAUGUACAGGUACCCAGCUCCUCAACUAUACUUGGUGAUCCUUAAAUUUUAGUUUUGGUCAUGAAAUUUCGUCCUUGGGCAAUUUGAAGCAAGACGAGAGAUGAAGUUGAACCAUUAAUUCUCAAGACCCUCGCAUAGUCUCACUCUUGUUGAUGUUUUAUUUUGAAUGAUUUCCUUUUGAAGCUUUAUUACAUUUUGGUGUUUCUUUUUGAACCUUUUAUUAGCACUUGACAUUUUGAAACAAAACUUAUAUGUUAUGGGAUGUUAUUGAAUUUUAAUGCAAUUUUGUUCUAUGUUA